rnacentral:lncRNA from 1 species
GUUCUCUUUGGGCUCUCGCCUAUGCCCUUCCUGUCUAACGGUGGUGGGGCAUUCCACUCCCCCUCAGUGCAGCUCUUCUUCCUGCCAAGUGACAGGUAACAUAUUAUCUCGUUCCCAUGCUCUUUCCUGUAAACACACGUAAUCUUUACUGUAACUACAUUUUCAAACUGUAUGGGGUGCAGCCUGCAUGUUACAAUUUUUAUAUCUUCUGUUUCUUUGCUGAGACUUUGUGUUUUUCUCAUUUGUUUCAAGCAUAUUUGUAAUUGCUUGUUGAAGUAUUUUUAUGAAGGCUGCUUUAAAAUCCUUGUCGGAUGAUUCUAAUUUAUCUGUCAUCUUGGUGUUGACAUCGGUUGAUUGUCUUUUCUCAUUCAUGUGGAGACUUUCCUGGUUCCUGGAAUGAUGACUGGGUUUUGAUUGAAACCUGGAAGUUUUGGGUAUUAUGAGAUUCUGGAUCUUAAUUAAAUUUUCUGUUUUAGGAAGACUCCUCUGCCAGUGCGCUGGUUGGGGAAGGAGAGUGCUACCUCGUGACUGUUGGGUGGUGGGUGGAAGUCCAGGUUAUUUACGGCCUCAGCUGAUACCCCUCUGGGAUGCGGCAGGAGUGCCUCAUUACUAUUCCUCCGUAGCUUCCACUGAUGCUCUGACUUAUCAUUGCUGGGUGAUGGUGAAAGUUCCAGCUUGGCACUAGGCCUCCUCUUGACACCCCAGCAAGGAGGGGAGGAGGCCUUUUCCUCUCCCAGGUUGGGUGGACAUCCCAGUGUCCUGGCUUCCCAUUCAGCCUUCUGUGACACCACCUGGAUGAAGGUAAGGUUGGAACAUCUCUUUUCAACCGGCUGAGAGCAGAAGUCUAGUUUCCUGACUUGGCCAAUAGGGGUGAGGUUUGGGGGCAUGGCUUUUUUCUGCGAUGUUUGGCUGGAGUAGAGCUGUUAUGGUCUAAAAGUUUUCUGUCGUGUGAGGCUGCCUCUUUCUUAGUCCUUUGGCUAGAGAAGGCAGGCUUUCCUUGGACAUUUUUUUGUCUGUGUCUCUUGGUGUUUCUGGGUCUCUGGCUUCUCCAGAAACCAGUCUGGGAUCUGUGAGAAAAAAAGAAAACCUAGGGAACACAGCUCCAUGUCGUUCCUGGCUGGUCUGCCUUCUUCUCUCCGUCUUUCUGAGUCUUCUUAUGCUUGUUUUCUGGAUAAUGCCUGGAGUUUUUUUGUUAGGAGGAACAGGGAAAAGUAUGUCUACUCUGUCUUUCUGGAAAUGGGAGUUCCCUGGAGAUUGGGAGUUUUAAAAGCUCCCCAGGUGAUUCAAAUCAAAUCAAGGUGCAGAAUAUGAGAAUCUCAGGGUUGGAGCACUGGAGCAGGCAAAGGUGGUUCUGGUGGAAGGACCAAGAGGACCUGGAAUCUUCCCCAAGUGGUGGUCUUUAUGAAAGAUUAUGUACGCCUUCAUAAAUUCUUAUCACUUAGUCACUUUCCUUCCAUAGACUUAGAUUUUUUUUUCUGUAUGUCCCUGAGUCUGACUUGUGUUCCCUGAGUAUACAUUCUUAAAUGCAGGUGUAAAAAUAGUCUAAUUGUAGAGGAAGUAUUUAGUGUGCUCCUACUGUGUUUAGGGCACGGUGCUUGGUGUUAAAGUUCAGAGAGAGAUGAGACAAGAUGGUGACUUGAAGGAGAUCACUGUAGCUGGGAGAUACUGAUAUGUGGAAAGAUAAAUACAAUGAUAGUAUUAUGUAUUGAGCACACGUGUGCUGGGUAUUCUCCUAGGUGUUUUAUAAAUUUUCAUUUAAUUCUUCCAACUACGCUGCAUGAUAGAUGUUAUUUUCUCCCUUUCAUCAUUGUGAUUUCAAAGGCUCAGUAUUAAGUGCCUUGUCCAAGGUCACUCCAUAUCCAAUUCAGGACAAAAUUGGACCUCGACUUCGGCGCUGGAAUGAGGCCUUGCUUUUUCCACCUGGACGUGUCCCACUAAGCUUUCUUCAUGAGUGUGUCAUGGGGGUGCUGCUGAGCUCAUCCAUUUAUAUUUCUCCCUGGACCCAGGACAAUUUUGGAGGCAGCUGUUAUUAGUGGCUUAGUCUGUGACUUUGGAAUGGACCUUGUAGGGACUUGAAAUGAUUCUUGAGACUUAAAAAUAUCACUGUAGUAAUUCUGUGGAGAGUGGGGUGGGGGGCAAUAAUAGACCUGGAGAGACUGUUCGGGAAGCUCAUCCUGUACUUCAGGCAAGGGAGGUUAGUCGCUGGAAUUAGGGCCCGUCUUCCACUCUGGAAGUUGCAAGAGGUAUAAGGCAUCUUUUAGUUUGGAAUGAGCACAUGUGUAAGUAAAGAAGGGAAGUGAGGUAAGCGAAAUGGAGGAAAAGUGUGGUCUUGUGAUGUGAGUGGGGGAGAGGAGGGUUUAUAUGUAGGCUUUUAGUAUUUUUUUUUAAGGGGGAAGGAGAUAAGAGAACUAUAGAUAAUGAAGAAAUGACAGAGAGGUAGGACGACCCGUACCCCAGGAGGCUUUAAAUACCAGGCUCAAGAGACAUGGCUUCAUCUUGCCAAUAGUGGGGAACAAAAAUGCGUGUUCCUAGGGGAUGAUAUAAAUAUAUAUAUUUACAUAAUGUAUAUAUGUGUCUACUCACACACACACAGAGUCGUGUAUUAGGAAGAGGAAAUGGAUAAGAGCUGCUGUAAAAAUAGAAAAGAGCGCUGAGGACUAGUGCUGAAGUCCAGGUGUGAGGACCUGAACCAGGACGACGAUGGCGGGUGUGGAAAUGAAGGGAUGGAUGUAAGAGAAAUUACAAAGACUCGAUACAGCAAUCUGUCUUGUGUUCUUAGGGCCAGGCUGCAUUUGGGAAGGAGAAUCAGAAAUUGAAAGCAUCAGAAUGAAAUAGCCUUUACUUCCAAGGAGCUUGUGUCUUAGUGAGUCAUCGCAUCUCAUGUGACAAAGCUUUAAACACCGCCUGUUCGACGGACACUCUAACAUGUCAACUGCCUGAGCUUGAAAGCUAGUUUAACUUGCCUCAUCUCUGUGUCUGGUCCUAAGCUGUUCAUCAUGGGUUGGGCCCUUAGCUACACUAUGUCCUAAGUCCUAUGUGAAAUUUUGCCUUUUUAGAGCAGCCCUGAUACCUUAUACUAACUCAGAGUUUAGGAAGCAUAUUAUUAGGCUGUCGAUUUUUGGCAGUUUUAAGGUCUGUUUGUCUAAAAUGAUGAGAAUGAAACUGUGUCCAUAUGAGCCCCUCUGUGAAAUGAGAAAAGGGCUGAGUGGGAUGCUGGUAAAGGUUAUGAAAACAUAGACCCUAGAUAAUUGGCAGUCUCAGCAAGCUAGGAUUAGGAGGUCCCUUUCUCCCUCCCAACCUCUUCUUGGAAAUGGAAGUUGCUGAAAUAUGAAAACUUGAGGCAGGGAUUCUAUCAGUGGUGACAAAUCCAUAAUGGGUUUCCGAGGCUAAUUAGAUUGUUUGGGAUAUUAGCAACUUCCUUCGUGUCCUUAGGCUUUCUGUCAAUGCUUACUGCCUAUAUUGUGAUCACUUCUGUCUUCUACAACCCACCCCCAACCCCAGGUGGUACCCUCUGGCUUUUGAGAUCCUGAAACAACACCGCGUCUGAUUGACUUUUGAAUUUCCAGGACAUAGCAUAGUGCCUGACACAUUAUAGGUGCGCCGUUGACCUUGAAUGAAUAAGUGAAUGAAGGAAGUUGAUGUCACUGAGUAUACACUGCUUCUCUACUCAUUACAUUUACCUGGGGGCCUUUGCUAGGAGUGGGAUCCCUUUUCUGCUUCUCUUGCCCAGCCCAAUUGUCAUCCAAGUCGUGUUGGUUGUAUUUCACAAAACUGUUUUGUGGAGAGAAUGUGAUGUUUAAUGACUUUGCCCUCCUAGCCAUUCCCUUGGCAAGAUGAUCAAGAUUUUUAUAGUGUGGGUCUCAUUUUUCUUCUACUGAAGGUGAGCUAGCCUGUGGCCUGAAGCUGGCUUUGUAGUUGUGCGAUUCACCUAUGGUGAAUAUGUCAACGUCAUACUCAUUUGAUGAGGCUUAGCUCAUCAAAUACUAGUUUCUGCCCCUGUCUUCCAACUUUCUCGGGGUUCUUCUUCCUUCAAUUGCUGUAGCAUCAUUUGGUUUGUAAUCUUAGCAUUAACUGUGUACUUGUUUUAGCAUAGGCCCCAUAACAGGUGGUUGAACUGUCUUUUUUGCAGUGCUGGCAGAGGGCCUAGCCAUAGUAGCUGCUCAGUAAGCACGUGUGGGGUUCAUGGAAUUCAGCAAGGGUUUGGUUUGUGAGGGUGAGGCUGACAUUCUCAGUGUCCUGUGAAUGUCAGGUGCCUCAUGACAGUGAUGCCUUUUAGUGAUUCCUUAUUUCCUCUUUCCAGCAGUAGCUUGCAGUUGUUUUUCAUUAAAAAUAUGUCUGAAGCACACACUUGAGGCUGCUGACUCACCUCUUCUACAGGAGAAGCCUUGAUGCAUUGGAUCUGCCAUGUGGGAGAUGCAGUCACUCCUCUCACCUCCCCACGGCAGUGUACUCUUUUCUUCAUGAUGGUCUGUUUACUCAUCACUCAGCAGGGAG